UACGUAGGGCGCGAGCGUUGUCCGGAUUUAUUGGGCGUAAAGGGCUUGUAGGCGGCUUGUCACGUCGGAUGUGAAAACCCGUGGCUCAACUACGGGCUUGCAUUCGAUACGGGCUAGCUAGAGUACGGCAGGGGAGACUGGAAUUCCUGGUGUAGCGGUGGAAUGCGCAGAUAUCAGGAGGAACACCGAUGGCGAAGGCAAUCCCCUGGGCCUGCACUGACGCUCAUGCACGAAAGCGUGGGGAGCAAACAGG
rnacentral:rRNA from 1 species